UACGAAGGGGGGCUAGCGUUGCUCGGAAUCACUGGGCGUAAAGGGUGCGUAGGCGGGUCUUUAAGUCAGGGGUGAAAUCCUGGAGCUCAACUCCAGAACUGCCUUUGAUACUGAAGAUCUUGAGUCCGGGAGAGGUGAGUGGAACUGCGAGUGUAGAGGUGAAAUUCGUAGAUAUUCGCAAGAACACCAGUGGCGAAGGCGGCUCACUGGCCCGGUACUGACGCUGAGGCACGAAAGCGUGGGGAGCAAACAGGG
rnacentral:rRNA from 1 species